rnacentral:rRNA from 1 species
GAUGAACGCUGGCGGCGUGCCUAACACAUUCAAGUCGAACGGAGAUACUAGUGGAAGUUUUCGGAUGGAAGCUAAUAUCUUAGUGGCGGACGGGUGAGUAACGCGUGAGCAACCUGCCUUUGCAUUCGGGAUAACAGCCGGAAACGACUGCUAAUGCCGAAUAACGUACAUUGAUUGCAUGUUUGAUGUACCAAAGAUCCGUCGUGCAAAGAUGGGCUCGCGUCUGAUUAGAUAGUUGGUGAGGUAACGGCUCACCAAGUCGACGAUCAGUAGCCGGACUGAGAGGUUGAACGGCCACAUUGGAACUGAGAUACGGUCCAGACUCCUACGGGAGGCAGCAGUGGGGAAUAUUGGGCAAUGGGCGAAAGCCUGACCCAGCGACGCCGCGUGAGGGAAGAAGGUCUUCGGAUUGUAAACCUCUGUUGACAGGGAAGAAGAAAGUGACGGUACCUGUAAAGAAAGCCACGGCUAACUACGUGCCAGCAGCCG